rnacentral:lncRNA from 1 species
UCUAGGUCUAAUACAUACUGAUAUAUUGAUUUUGAUGAUUACAAAGCAUUUGAGGGGGUUACUAAUGAUUUUGACUUGAAAAAAGAUUUAUUGUAUUUCAGGGGCAAAAUCAUAAUUUUAUCAAGUUUUGAUUCAGAAGCCUCAAGAGCAAGAGUAGAAGAUUUAUAAUCUAUUGGAGGCAAUUUCAAUAUUUUUAGAUGUGUAUUUUGAAAGAAAAUCAUAUUUAUAAAUUUGAA